GCGGGUAUGGCGGAAUUGGCAGACGCGCUAGAUUUAGGUUCUAGUGUCCGUAGGACGUAUGGGUUCAAGUCCCGUUACCCGCA
rnacentral:tRNA from 1 species